rnacentral:piRNA from 1 species
UGAGGUUACUGAUGCAAUAUUUUUUGAAGGG